UUAUGGCUCAGGAUGAACGCUGGCGGCGUGCCUAACACAUGCAAGUCGAGCGUGAACCCUUAGAAUGAAACUCGGUCGAAUGAAGAGGGGGAAAGCGGCGGACGGGUGAGUAACGCGUAGGCAACCUGCCCCGUACAGAGGGAUAGCCUCGGGAAACCGGGAUUAAAACCUCAUAAUACCAUGGUAUCACAUGAUGCAAUGGUCAAAGAUUUAUCGGUAUGGGAUGGGCCUGCGUCUGAUUAGCUGGUUGGUGGGGUAACGGCCUACCAAGGCAACGAUCAGUAGCCGACCUGAGAGGGUAAUCGGCCACAUUGGAACUGAGACACGGUCCAAACUCCUACGGGAGGCAGCAGUGGGGAAUAUUGCACAAUGGGCGAAAGCCUGAUUGCAGCAACGCCGCGUGAGCGAAGAAGGCCUUUGGGUCGUAAAGCUCUGUCGGGAAGGAAGAUAAUGACGGUACUUCCCGAGGAAGCCCCGGCUAACUACGUGCCAGCAGCAGC
rnacentral:rRNA from 1 species